UGUGCAGGGAAAGUUCUUCGUGUCAUGUA
rnacentral:piRNA from 1 species